rnacentral:rRNA from 1 species
GAAUAUUGGACAAUGGGGGGAACCCUGAUCCAGCCAUGCCGCUUGUGUGAAGAAGGCCUUUUGGUUGUAAAGCACUUUAAGCGAGGAGGAGGCUACUCUAGUUACUACCUAGAGAUAGUGGACGUUACCCGCAGCAUAAGCCCCGGCUAACUCUGGCCACCCACCAGCGGUAAUACAGAGGGUGCAAGCGUUAAUCGGAUUUACUGGGCGUAAAGCGCGCGCAGGUGGCCAAUUAAGUCAAAUGUGAAAUCCCCGAGCUUAACUUGGGAAUUGCAUUCGAUACUGGUUGGCUAGAGUAUGGGAGAGGAUGGUAGAAUUCCAGGUGUAGCGGUGAAAUGCGUAGAGAUCUGGAGGAAUACCGAUGGCGAAGGCAGCCAUCUGGCCUAAUACUGACACUGAGGUGCGAAAGCAUGGGGAGCAAAC